UACCUUUGUCUGAGCAUUGGUUCGGAUAUACCUUUGGUAUGUCUGACUAAGAGGGAAUCAGGUGAAAAUCCUGAACAGACCCGCUACUGUAAAUCCUAUGCAACGUUUGGGCAACAUCAAUUAUGCCACUGCACAUUCUCUUGGAAGGUGUGGGAAGGCUGCUCGAAACGGGGAUAAGUCAGGAGACCUACCAAUUGCUUUAUAAAAUU
rnacentral:ncRNA from 1 species